rnacentral:rRNA from 1 species
AGUGAACGCUGGCGGUAUGCCUAACACAUGCAAGUCGAACGGCAGCACAGUAAGAGCUUGCUCUUACGGGGGGCGAGUGGCGGACGGGUGAGGAAUACAUCGGAAUCUACUUUUUCGUGGGGGAUAACGUAGGGAAACUUACGCUAAUACCGCAUACGACCUACGGGUGAAAGCAGGGGAUCUUCGGACCUUGCGCGAUUGAAUGAGCCGAUGUCGGAUUAGCGAGUUGGCGGGGUAAAGGCCCACCAAGGCGACGAUCCGUAGCUGGUCCGAGAGGAUGAAGAGGCACAGUGGAAGCGAACGACGGUACAGGCUCCUACGGGAGGCCGAGAUGCGGACUAUUGGAAAAUGGGGGGAAGAUUGCACAAGCCAUACAGGGUGGGUGAAGCAGGCCUUCGGGGUGUAAAGCCCUUUUGUUGGGAAAGAAAAGCAGCAGGUUAAUACACCGCUGUUCUGACGGUACCCAAAGAAUAAGCACCGGCUAACUUCGUG